CUGGCCCCCCUCCCCUCCGCUGUGCGGAGUGUGGUCCGCGUGGCCUCGGCCGGGCCUCCGAGACCGCCGGUGCCACAGCCGGGGGUCUCCGUGCAGCUCCGCCCGCGUGUCGCGUAGUGUCCUGGUGUCACUUGACGCCUCCAGAAACGUUGACCUGUUGACCGCUUCUUCCCAGUUUUCCGCAACGCGUGCUGUCUUCACUCGCUGUCCACACCUCAGUGGCCCUUGGCAGUCGCCUGGUGCGCCGCCGCCCCCAGUCCUGAUGUCACUGGUGGUUGUGGCCGUGUGACCUGUGCUUCCCAUGUGGCCAGGGCUGGGGGUGUGCAGCUGUGCGGCCACGGCUCUGACGAGUAGUGCAGCGCUUUUCCAAGGGUUGCUUGGUCUUCCAGCAACAUCGCCACCCCUCCCCGCCUGCCGGUGAGUAUGUCCACCUGUUGAGUCCAUUAUGUUUCCUUCAGUAGCAGAGAUACACCUAGAAUGUGUCCAGGAGAGUGUGGUAUGGCCGCCGAGAAGUAGACCUAAGGUACCUGUCACCGUGCCCUGUGUACCGCGGCUCUCACUGGAAUGUGUAGCUUCGACGUCUGCCUUGGAUCUCCUGGCUGGUCAUUUUGCUGCUUUCAUCACGAACAUCAACCUUGCCCUUCAGUAA